UUUUGAUUUCUAUUUGUUUCUUGGAUGUCAGUCAUACAUAGUUUGAUUAUGUGGUUUGCUAGUGUUUGAUUUAAGCCUUAAGGGACUACUAUGGAAAUGUAUUUAGGGGCUUUAUUUGUAGACUUCAUUUCAGUUACAUUUAAUUGGUUUUCAUGUUUGGGUUCCUUUAAAAUUCCUUAAAGUUUUCAGUUUCUUUUUCUACAAAUUGCUUAAACUUUUUUUGUCUUUAGAUAUUCAAAGUAAAAUAAUAAGCCAUUUUAAAUUUUUUACUAUUUUUUACUUUGGGGUUGACUUAAUAAACUACUUCCCUUUGGAUUUUUGAAGAGUCUUAUAGCACAGAAGUAGUUAAUUAAAAAUUUAACGUUAUGACUGAAUGUAAAAAGGAAUAUUUGAAGGUCCACUCCGGUCCAGGCCUUGCUUUGUUCCCACCCUUAAUGCUGCACUAAUUGACUAAUGACCCACCUAUCUGCAGGAAACUUGAAUUGCUGUGGACUUGCUUCUUCUAUUCGAACUUAUUAUAUUGGAGUAUUAUUGCUCAUAAUUUCAAGUUUCUGUGGUUUCUUGCCUCCACAGCCUCUAGCUCCACCCCAGCCCUGUUCCCAGCAACCCCCUUUCUGGCCCCAGCCCCGGCCCUAGCCCCAGCCCCGGCCCCAGCUCUGGCCCCAGUCCCGGCCCCAGCCCCAGCCCCAGCCCCAGCCCCGGCCCCGGCCCCAGCCCCGGCCCCGGCCCCUGGCCCUGCCCCGGCCCCUGGCCCUACCCCUGCCCCAGCCCCUGCCCCAGCCCCAGCCCCAGCCCCAGCCCCAGCCCAGCCCAGCCUCAGUCCUGUUUCUCCCUAAAGCCCGUGAAAUUUGCAUUGAUUCAGUGCUAAAAAUAAGUUGUCCAUUGCUCACCCAGUAGACUGGGAUACCCUGUCUGCCUCUAGCAUUGCUGAUCUUGAAUGCUGACUACCCGAGUCACCAUUUUCAAUUAAUGUACAGAAUCCCUUUUGUCCAUUGUCCCAUGUUAGAACAAAGAAUCCAAACACCCUUUGCAUUAAUGUUAGGUAAUGUUAAUUAAUUGAGAGCUUUCAUAAGUCUAGUUACUCAUAAUCUUCUCAAUCCCCUGUCCUUAAGGAAGGAGAAACCAUUCCUCUGUCAUUGCUGCAGUAGUCACAAUCCCAGUUUUCUGGACAGUGCAUAUAUACUGUGCUGACCACCUAAACUCUUUGCACUGAGUGAAAUUCUAAUUGUUCAUAAUCCUGCCCAUUGGAUUAGAUCCCAGUCAAAAACCCUUUUGCAUUCAGCAGGGGGCACAGAAAACCCAGAUUUUUUGUUCCACAGUUAAUGUGCUCAGUCCCAAUUGUCAUAGUCUUGUCCAUUAAACAAAGGCAUCCUACCAAUUUUGCCCUGCUUUUCGGGAGUCCUGCUGUUCUUGAACAAUUAAAGUACCAAACUGUACAUCGUCUUCCCCAUUAAUCAAUGACCAUCCCAUUCGCAUUGCUAUUAGGCCGUGCUGACUACCUGAGACCAUCUUCCUUGAAUUAUUAAUGAGAAGAAUCCCAAUUGUUCAUUACACAAGUCCUUUGCAACUUUUUUGCACUACAGCAGAAGUGCUCAUCCUCAAAGUCCUUUACUUUGAAAUAUUAAUGGAUACAAUCACUGUUAGUCAUGGUCCUGCCUAACAGGUAAGACCCACCCAUGCUCUUCAUUGCUCCUAGGCAGUUCGGACUACCUGUCACUUUGCAUUAAUAUGUAGAAUCCUCAUUUCCCAUGGUCCCACCCAUUAGUCUAGGAUAUCCCUUACCUCUGUGCCAUUUCUUCUGAGGAGUUCUGAUUACCCAAAGUCCCUUCUCUUAUUAAACAAUUGAUGUGCAUAAUUGCAUAUAUCUAUGGUCCCAUGCAAUAAAAAAUGAAAUCCCACACUCGGUGGAAUACUGCUAGGUCGUGCAGAUUAUUCAAGAACUCAGCUUUUGGACAGUUAAUUUGCACAGUUGCAGUUGUCCAGAGUCCUGUCCAUUUUAAUGGGCCACUGUAUCCCAUUUGCAUGCUAUAUGGGUCAAACUCUCAAGGAACCUUCUCUUGAAUUGAUAAUGUCCAUAGUUGCAUUUGUCAAUGUCCUGUGAAUUAGUCACACCCACCCUCUUUGUAUUCCAGCAGAGGACCCUUACUACUUGAGAACUCUGCACUAGGACAUUUAAUGUGCACGAACCUAAUUGAUUACACCUGAGCCUUUUGUAUCAGGAACCCUGCAUCAUCUUUACUUCUGAAAGGUGCUAAUUAUCUAAGGCCAUUUCCUGACACUGUUCAUGUGCAAAAUUGCGGUCCCAAUGACUCCUUUCUUUAAAUUAGAAUCCCAUCCCCAACUAACUGCCUUUGCAUUACAGCUGAGGAUACCUCGGGCAGUUAAUGGGCUUGAUUGCAGCUACAGACCUCUCUGUUAGUCUAGCACCUAUUCCCCUCCUAGAUGAUUUGCAUUACUACAGGCAGUACAAGGGACUGAUAAUGGACUUAUACAGCUAUAGUCCCUUACGUUAACCUAGGAACCCAUCCCCACCUAACUCCCUUUGAGUGAGGAGGGGACUGCGGAGGGUACUUGGAACUGUUAAUGAGCUUUAUUGCAGCUACAGUUCCGUUCGUCACUCUAGAAUCCAUUUCCUUCCUACUCGAUUUGCAUUACCACAAAGGGCACAAGGGACUGUUAAUGUGCUUAAGUGGAGCUAUAUAGUCCCUUAUGUUAACCUAGGAACCCAUCCCCCCCAACUCCCUUUGCAUUAAUGCAGAGCCUACAUGGACUUGUUAAUGGGCUUAAUUGUACUGCUGUCUCUUCUGUUAGUCUGGAAUCCCACCCCUCCUACUCAAUUUGCGUUACCGCAGAAUGUAUGAGAGACUGUUACUGUGCUUAAAUGCAUCUAUAGUCUCUUAUGUUUACCUAUGAUCCCAUUCCUGUCUAACUCCCUUUGCAUGACUGCAGAGGGUACUUGGGACUGUUAAUAGGCUCAAUUAGAGCUACAGUCCCUUCUGUUAGUAGAGUCCCAUGCCCUCCUACUCUAUUUGCAUUACCGAAAGGGGGACAAUGGACUGUUAAUGGGCUUUAUUGCAGAUACAGUCCCUUCUGUUAAUCUAGAAUCAGUUUCCUUCUUAUUGGAUUUGCAUUACCACAGAGGGUACAGGGACUGUUAAUGUGCUUAAAUGCAGCUGCAGUCCCUUAUGUUAACCUAGGAUCCCAUCCCCAACUAUCUCCCUUUUCAUUACUGCAGAGCCUACAUAGAACUUGCUAAUGGGCUUAAUUGUGCUACUGUCCCUUAUCUUAGCCUAGGAUCCCAUCCCCUCCUAAUUCCCUUUAGAUUACCAAAGAGGACACAAGGGACUGUUAAUGUGCUUUUAAAUGCACGUACAAUCCCACCCCCUUUUUUAACCUAGGAUUCCAUUCCCACCUCACUCUCUUUUCAUGACUACAGAGGGUACUUGGGACUGUUAAUGGGCUUUACUGCAGCUACAGUCCCUUCUGUUAAUCUAGAAUCAGUUUCCUUCUUACUGGAUUUGCAUUACCACAUAGGGUAACUGGGACUGUUAAUGUGCUUAAAUGAAGCUGUAGUCCCUUAUGUUAACCUAGGAUCCCAUUCCCACCUAACUCCCUUUUCAUUAAUGCAGAGCCUAUAUGGGACUUGUUAAUGGGCUUGAUUGCACUGCUGUCCCUCCUAUUAGUCUAGGAGCCCAUCCCUCUUACUUGAUUUGCCUUACCCCAGAGUGUAGAGACUGUUAACAUCCUUAAAUGCAUCUACAGUCUCUCAUGUUUACCUAUGAUCCCAUUCCCAUUUAAAGCUCUUUGAAUGACUGCAGAGGGUACUUGGGACUGUUAAUGGGCUUUAUUGCAGCUACAGUCCCUUCUGUUAGUCUAGAUUCCCAUUCACUCCUACACGAUUUACAUUAACACAGAAGGUACAAAGAACUGCUAAUGUGCUUAAAUAGAGCUACAGUCCUUUAUGUUAAUCUAGGAUCCCAUUGCCACCUAACUCCCUUUUCAUUACUGCAGAGCCCACAUGGACUUCUUAAUGGGCUUAAUGGCACUGCUGUCCCUUCUGUUAAUCUAGGAGUCCAUCCCACCUACUCAAUUUGCAUUAUCCCAGAGUGUACAAGAGACUGCUACUGUGCUUAAAUGCAUCUAUAGUCUCUUAUGUUUACCUAUGAUCCCAUUCCCACCUAACUCCCUUGCACUACCACAGAGGGUACAAGGGACUGUUACUGUGCUUAAAAGCAGCUACAGUCCCUUAUGUUUAUCUAGGACCCUAUUCCCGCCUGACUCCCUUUUAAUGACUGCAGAGGGUACUUGGGACUGUUAAUGGGCUUUACUGCAGCUACAGUCCCUUCUGUUAAUCUAGAAUCAGUUUCCUUCUUACUGGAUUUGCAUUACCACAUAGGGUAACUGGGACUGUUAAUGUGCUUAAAUGAAGCUGUAGUCCCUUAUGUUAACCUAGGAUCCCUUUCCCACCUAACUCCCUUUUCAUUAAUGCAGAGCCUAUAUGGGACUUGUUAAUGGGCUUGAUUGCACUGCUGUCCCUCCUAUUAGUCUAGGAGCCCAUCCCUCUUACUUGAUUUGCCUUACCCCAGAGUGUAGAGACUGUUAACAUCCUUAAAUGCAUCUACAGUCUCUCAUGUUUACCUAUGAUCCCAUUUCCAUUUAACGCUCUUUGAAUGACUGCAGAGGGUACUUGGGACUGUUAAUGGGCUUUAUUGCAGCUACAGUCCCUUCUGUUAGUCUAGAUUCCCAUUCACUCCUACACGAUUUACAUUAACACAGAAGGUACAAAGGACUGCUAAUGUGCUUAAAUAGAGCUACAGUCCUUUAUGUUAAUCUAGGAUCCCAUUGCCACCUAACUCCCUUUUCAUUACUGCAGAGCCCACAUGGACUUCUUAAUGGGCUUAAUGGCACUGCUGUCCCUUCUGUUAAUCUAGGAGUCCAUCCCACCUACUCAAUUUGCAUUAUCCCAGAGUGUACAAGAGACUGCUACUGUGCUUAAAUGCAUCUAUAGUCUCUUAUGUUUACCUAUGAUCCCAUUCCCACCUAACUCCCUUGCACUACCACAGAGGGUACAAGGGACUGUUACUGUGCUUAAAAGCAGCUACAGUCCCUUAUGUUUAUCUAGGACCCUAUUCCCGCCUGACUCCCUUUUAAUGACUGCAGAGGGUACUUGGGACUGUUAAUGGGCUUUACUGCAGCUACAGUCCCUUCUGUUAAUCUAGAAUCAGUUUCCUUCUUACUGGAUUUGCAUUACCACAUAUGGUAACUGGGACUGUUAAUGUGCUUAAAUGGAGCUGUAGUCCCUUAUGUUAACCUAGGAUCCCAUUCCCACCUAACUCCCUUUUCAUUAAUGCAGAGCCUAUAUGGGACUUGUUAAUGGGCUUAAUUUCACUGCUGUCCCUCCUAUUAGUCUAGGAGCCCAUCCCUCUUACUUGAUUUGCCUUACCCCAGAGUGUAGAGACUGUUAACAUCCUUAAAUGCAUCUACAGUCUCUCAUGUUUACCUAUGAUCCCAUUCCCAUUUAAAGCUCUUUGAAUGACUGCAGAGGGUACUUGGGACUGUUAAUGGGCUUUAUUGCAGCUACAGUCCCUUCUGUUAGUCUAGAUUCCCAUUCACUCCUACACGAUUUACAUUAACACAGAAGGUACAAAGGACUGCUAAUGUGCUUAAAUAGAACUACAGUCCUUUAUGUUAAUCUAGGAUCCCAUUGCCACCUAACUCCCUUUUCAUUACUGCAGAGCCCACAUGGACUUCUUAAUGGGCUUAAUGGCACUGCUGUCCCUUCUGUUAAUCUAGGAGUCCACCCCACCUACUCAAUUUGCAUUAUCCCAGAGUGUACAAGAGACUGUUACUGUGCUUAAAUGCAUCUACAGUCUCUUAUGUUUACCUAUGAUCCCAUUCCCACCUAACUCCCUUGCACUACCACAGAGGGUACAAGGGACUGUUACUGUGCUUAAAAGCAGCUACAGUCCCUUAUGUUUAUCUAGGACCCUAUUCCCGCCUGACUCCCUUUUAAUGACUGCAGAGGGUACUUGGGACUGUUAAUGGGCUUUACUGCAGCUACAGUCCCUUCUGUUAAUCUAGAAUCAGUUUCCUUCUUACUGGAUUUGCAUUACCACAUAUGGUAACUGGGACUGUUAAUGUGCUUAAAUGAAGCUGUAGUCCCUUAUGUUAACCUAGGAUCCCUUUCCUACCUAACUCCCUUUUCAUUAAUGCAGAGCCUAUAUGGGACUUGUUAAUGGGCUUAAUUUCACUGCUGUCCCUCCUAUUAGUCUAGGAGCCCAUCCCUCUUACUUGAUUUGCCUUACCCCAGAGUGUAGAGACUGUUAACAUCCUUAAAUGCAUCUACAGUCUCUCAUGUUUACCUAUGAUACCAUUUCCAUUUAACGCUCUUUGAAUGACUGCAGAGGGUACUUGGGGGAGUUAAUGGGCUCAAUUAGAGCCAUAAUCCCUUCUGUUAUUUGAGAUUCCCAUGCCCUCCUACUCCAUUUGCAUUACCAAAGGGGAUACAAGGGAACGUUAAUGUGCUUAAAUGCAAUUACCUAGUAUCCCAUCCCCACCUAACUCCCUUUUCGUGAUUGCAGAGAGUACUUGGGACUUUUAAUGGCCUUUGUUGCAGGUACAGUCCCUUCUGUUAGUCUAGAAUCUGUUCCAUCCUACUCCAUUUGCAUUAACACAGAGAGUACAGGUACUGCUAAUGUACUUAUAUAGAGCUACAGUCCUUUAUGUUAAUCUAGGAUCCCAUUGCCACCUAACUCCCUUUUCAUUACUGCAGAGCCCACAUGGACUUGUUAAUGGGCUUAAUUGCACUGCUGUCCUUUCUGUUCGUCUAGAAUCCCAUCCCUCCUACUCAGUUUGCAUUACCUCAGAGUAUACGAGAGACUGUUACUGUGCUUAAAUGCAUCUACAGUCUCUUAUGUUUACCUAUGAUCCCAUUCCCACCUAACUCCCUUGCACUACCACAGAGGUUACAAGGGAUUGUUACUGUGCUUAAAAGCAGCUACAGUCCCUUAUGUUUAUCUAGGACCCUAUUCCCACCUAACUCCCUUUUAAUGACUGCAGAAGGAACUUGGGACUUUUAAUGGGCUUAAAUGCAGCUACAGUCCCCUGUCUUAACCUAGAAUCCCAUCCCUAAUUAUCUGCCGUCCAUUACUGCAGAGCCUACAUAGGACUUGUUAAUGGCCUUAGUUGCACUACUGUCCCUUCCGUUAGUCUAGGAUCCCAUCCCUACCUAAUUCCUUUUAGGUUACCAAAGAGGAUACAAGGGACUGUUAAUAUGCUUAAAUGUAGAAACAGUUGCUUUUUUUAGGUAGGAUCCUAUUCUCACCUAACUCCCUUUGCAUUACCACAGAGGGUACAAGGGACUGUUAGUGUGCUUAAAAGCAGCUACAGUCACUUAUAUUAACCUAGGAUCCCAUCCCCAACUAUCUCCCUCUUCAUUACUGCAGAGCCUACAUAGAACUUGCUAAUGGGCUUAAUUUACUACUGUCCCUUAUCUUAGCCUAGGAUCCCAUUAGAGCUAAUUACCUCCUAAUUCCCUUUAGAUUACCAAAGAGGACACCAGGGACUGUUAAUGUGCUUUUAAAUGCAAGUAAAAUCCCUCCCCCCCCCUCUUUUAACCUAGGAUUCCUUUCCCACCUCACUCUUUUUUCAUGACUGCAGAGGGUACUUGGGACUGUUAAUGGGCUCAAUUAGAGCUACAGCCCCUUCUGUUAGUCCAGAUUCCCAUGCCCUCCUACUCAAUCUGCAUUACCAAAGGGAGUACAAUGGAUUGUUUAUGUGCUUAAAUGGAGCUACAGUCCCUUAUGUAACCUAAGAUUCCAUUUCCACCUAACUCCCUUUCCUGACUGCAGAGGGUACUUGGGACUGUUAACGGAGCUUACUGCAGCUGCAUUCCCUUCUGUUAAUGUACAUUCCCAUCCUCUCUUACACGGUUUGCAUUACCACAAACUGUAUAACUAUUAAUGUGCUUAAAUGCAACUACAGUCCCUUAUGUUAACCUAGGAUCCCAUUCCCACCUAACUCCCUUUUCAUUAAUGCAGAGCCUACAUGGGACUUGUUAAUGGGCUUAAUUGCACUGCCCUCCCUUCUAUUAGCCUAGAUUCCCAGGCUGUCCUCGAUUUGCAUUACCAAAGGGGGUAUAAUGGACUGUUAAUGUGCUUAAAUGCAGCUACAGUCCCUUUUUUUUUUUUUACCUAGGAACCCAUUCCUACCUAACUCCCUUUUCAUGACUGCAGAGGGUACUUGGGACUGUUAAUGGGCUUUAUUACAGCUACAGUCCCUUCUGUUAGUCUAGAUUCCCAUCCACUCCUACACAACUUGUAUUACCACAGACUGUACAAGGGACUGUUAAUGGGCUUAAAUACAGCUACAGUCCCUUAUGUUAACCUAGGGUCCCAUCUCCAACUAACUCCUUUUGCAUGACUGCAGAGGGUACUUGGGACUGUUAAUGGGCUUAAUCACAACUACAGUCCCUUCUCUUAGUCUAGAUUCCCAUCCCCUCCUACAGAUUUACAUUACCACAGAGGAUACAAGGGACUGUUAAUGUGCUUAAAUGCAGGUAUAGUCCCCUUUAUUUUUUCACCUAGGAUCCCAUUCCCAACUAACCCCCUUUGCAUUACCACUGACUGUACAAGGGACUGUUAACGUGCUUAAAUGCAAUUAUAGUCCCUUAUGGUAAUCUUGGAUCCCACCCCCAACUAACUCCCUUUGUAUGACUGCAGAGAAUAUUUGGGACUUUAAAUGCGAUUGAUUGCAGCUACAGUCCUUUCUGUUAGUCCAGGAUCCGUUCCCUUCCUUCCUGAUUUGCAUUACCAGAGAGGGUAGAAGGGAUGGUUAAUGUACUUAAAUGGAUCUACAGUCCCUUAUGAUAACCAGGAUCUCAUUGCCACCUAACUCCCUUUGCAUUACCACAGAGGCUACAAAGUACUGUUGAAAUGCUUAAAUGCAGCUACAGUCCCUUAUGUUAACCUAGGAUCUUGUUCCCACCUAACUCCCUUUGCAUGACUGCAGAGGGUAUUUGGGACUAUUAAUGGGCUUUACUGAAGCCACAGUCCCUUUUCUUAGUCUAGGAUCCCAUCCCCUCCUACAGGAUUUACAUUACCACGGAGGGUACAAGGGACUGUUAUGGUGCUUAAGUGCAGGUAGAGUUCAAGGAUCCCAUUUCCACCUGCCUCCAUUUGCAUUACCAAAGAGGCUACCAGGGACUGCUAAUGUGUUUAAAUGCAGGUACAGUGCCUUGAGUUAACCCCGAAAUCCCGCCUAACUCCCUUUUCAUGACUGCAGAUGGUAAUUGGGACUGUUAACAAGCUUUAAUGCAGCUACGGUUUCUCUCUUAGUCUAGAAUCCCAUUCCCUCCUACUUGAUUUACAUUACCACAGAGUGUACAAGGGACUUUUAAUGUGCUUAAAUGGCACUACAGUCCCUUAUGUUACCUAUGAUCCCAUUCCCACCUAACUCCCUUUGCAUGACUGCAGAGGGUACUUGGGACUGUUAAUGUGUUUACCUGCCUAUACAGUUUCAUGUGUCGGUCUAGAUUCCCAUGCCCUCCUACUCAAUUUGCAUUAUAAAAGAGGGUACAAAGGACUGUUAAUGUGCUUAAAUGCAGUUACAGUCCCUUUGUAAGGUGGGAUCCCAUUCCCACGUAACUCCCUUUGCAUCAUCCCAGAGGCUACAAGGGACUUUCAAUGUGCUUAAAUGCAGGUACAUCCCUUAUGUUAACCUUGAAGUACCUUGAAGUACGUUCCCACCUAACUCCCUUUUCAUCACUGCAAAGGGUACUUGGGACCGUUAAUGGGCUUCACUGAAGCUGCUGUCCCUUCUGUUUGUCUAGAUUCCCUUUCCCUCCUUGAGUUGCAUUACCACAGUGUACAAUGGACUGUUACUGUGCUUGAAUGCAGGUACAGUCCUUUUUUUUUUAACCUAGGAUCCCAUUCCCACCUAACUCCCUUGCAUUUCUGCAAAGGGCACUUGGGACUACUUUAAUUGGACUCCUGUCCGUUCUGUUAGUCUGGGAUCCCAUCCCCUCCUACUUGAUUUGCGUUUCCACAGAGGCUACAAGGGACUGUUAAUGUGCUUAUUAAAUGCAGGUACAAUCCCUUAUGUUAACCUAGGAUCCCAUUCCCACCUAUCUCCUUUUGCAUGACUGCAGAGGUAUAUGAGACCUUUAAAGUGGUUAGUGACAGCUGUAGUCCCAUCUAUUAAGCAUACUUUCUCAAGCACUCCAAUUCCCUCACGUAACUUGGGAACAUAUUUGGGACUGUCACUGUGCUCGUUUUUAGCUGUGGUCCCUUCUGUAAUUCUAGGAUCUCAUCCCUUUCUACUCAUUUGUAUUACUUGUUGGUAUUGGGACAGAAAGGUGCUUAAAUGCAGCUGUAAUCCGUUUUGUUAAUCUAGGAUUCCAUGCCCUCUAACUCCCUUAACAUUACCUAGGAGUGUAUUUGGGACUGUUGAAGUGCUUAAUUGCAUCUGUGGUCCCUUCUGUUAGUCUCACUUCCCAUGCCCUCUUACUCCCUUUGCAUUACAGCAGAGGGCACUUGGGACUAUUAAAGUGUUUAAUUGCAGCUGUGGUCCCUUCUCUUAGUCUGGGGUCCAUGCCCCCCAGCUUUGUUUGCAUUACCACAGAAGGUACUUGGAACUGUGAAUGUGUUUAAAUGCAGAUGUGGUCCCUUUUGUUAGUUUUGGAUCCCAUGACUCCCUUUACAUUACCUGGGAGGGCAUUUGGGACUGUCAUGAUGGUAAUUGCACCUGUGUUCCCUUCUGUUGGUCUAGGAUCCCGUUACCUCCUACUCCCUUUGCAUUACAUGGGAGCGUUUUUGGGACUCUUAAGAUGCUUAACUGCAACUAUAGUCCUUUCUGUUAGUCUAGUUUCCAGUCCCUUUCUACUCUCUUUGCAUUACCACAGAGGGUACUUGGGACUGUUGUGGUGCAUCCCAUCCUCUCACACCCUGUCAGCAUUACAGCAUAGGGUCCUGAACACCAAGGCCCCUUCUUUUCACUGUUAAUGCACAAUUGCAUUUGUCCUUCUUCCUCUGCAGUAUAUAAAGAUCUCACUAAUUUCCCUUUUAUUCAGUGGUGGAUGCCCUUUACUCAAGACCUUUGUACUAGAAUAAAGUGAACCAUGGUAAUUGACCACAAAUAUAUCUUUCACUUAAGUCCCUUGUACUCUCUUUGUUUUAUAAGAAGAUGUAUUAAUUACCUCCGUUACUUUUUCUGGGAGUAUUUACAUGCAAAAUUCCAGUGUUCAAGGCCCCUCUCUUUAAACUAAUAUCCCUCCCUUUCUGUAUUAUAUCAGGGGAUGUUAGUGACUCAGAGUCCUUCUCUUGGGACUCAUUGUGCAUGUGCCCUCGUGACAAGCUAAUAUCUUGAGUUCUUAGUAUUAUAGGAGAGACUACUGACUAGUUUCUCUUUUGGACAGUUAAUGUGCAAAAUUACACUAGGAUCCCAUCCCAUUUCACCUCCUUUGCAUCAGGGGUCCUGAUCAACUGUGGCUGCUUCUCCUCUAGAGUUUAAAUGUGCAUAAUUUCAGUAACCCAUGCUCCCUUAUGUUAGAUUAGAAUCCCAUUUCCUUGCCCCAUUUACAUUACUGCAGGGGCUUCUGACUAGCCAAGAUUCGUUUUCUUGGACUGUUAAUGUGUAUACUUACAUUUGCUCCUGUACCUGUACACCAGGUAAGGACCCUCCCCAUUCUAUUUAUAUUCCAGCAGGAGGUGCCUACUACUCAAGAUCUUACACACUACUGCAGUUAAUGUGCACAAUCUUAGUUGUCUUGUACACAUUCUCAGUUGUCCACAACUGUGCUUUUUAGAUCAGGACUCCACUUAUUGAAGCACAGGUUACUUACUACCUUAAAGCCCUUGUUUUGGGACUGUGACUAUGUGUAAUUACAAUUGUCCAUGGUCCUUUGAGUUAACUUGUGUCCCUGACUCUUUUCACAUUCUCUUUGCUUUACUGCAUGGGGUACUGUCCACUUAAGGCCCCUUUCUCAAAUACGUGUAAUGACAAUUACAUUAGGAUCCUUCCCCUUCAAACCCCUUUGAAGUACCACAAAGAUUUUGACCCCUAAGGUCCCAUUUCUUGUCUUGUUAUUGUAUUUGUCUGGGUUCCUGUGCACUAGACAAGGACACCUCUCCAUUCCCUGUCCUUCCAGCAGGAAGUGCCCCAUCCACAAGACUGUUAAAUUUGGACAGUCAAGGUGCACAAUUGUAACUGACCACAACCAGUCACCUUGGACAUUAAUGUGCAUAAUUGCACAUGGCUCAUCCCAUAUGGAUAAGAUCCUAUCCUCUCAGACCCCUUUUGUAGUACAGCAGGGGUACUGAUCACUAAGGCCUCUUUUUAUGGCUUGUUAUUGUGCAUAAUUGCAUGUUCCUGUACACUAGAUGGGGACACCUAUCUCCCCACUCCCUUUGCCUUUUAGCAGGGAGUGCCCGCUACUCUAAGAUCCUUAUAUUUGUACAAGGUAUACGAUUUUAAUUGACCACACCAUGUCCCUUUGACAUUAAUGUACAUAAUUGCAACUUAGUUCAUCUUAUCCUGUUGCCCUCCAUUUGCAGUCUACCAGGGUUGCUGACCCCUAAAUCCCCAUUCCUUGGCCUGUUAAUGUGCAUAAUUGCAUUUGGUUCUUGGGCAGUAGACAAGGAUCCCCUCCUCCCCCCAUUGCCUAUGCCUUCCAGUAGGUUGUGCCCACCACCAAGACCUUUCUAUUUGGACAGUUAAUGUGCAGAAUUGCAGUUUUCCACAACCCUGUUACUUCUAGGACUAUUUUAUCUCCUUUGUAAUACUGCAGGGGAUACUGUUUUCCCCCAAGGUCCCUUCUAGUGGACCGUUAAUAUACAUAAUUGAAAUUGUUGUCUUUAUCAGUAGACUAAUGUCAUAUCCCCUCAGCUAACUAUCAUGACCUCAGCUCUUGGACAAUUAAUAUGCACCAAUAACAUAUCAAAAGUACGAUCAUUAGAUAGGACCCCUGUACCCUCACUGUAUACAUCAGGGGUACUGACUAAGGCCCCUUUUCUGGACUGAUAAUGUGAAUAUUUGCAAUUAUCUAUUCUCCCUUCUUAUUAGAGUAGGAUAGCAUCCCCUUGCACCCCCUUUGCAUUACUGCAGGGGCUGCUAAUGACACAAAACUUCUACUGGGACUGUGAUGAGCACAAUGGCAAUUAGCAAUGGGUUUUUCCUCCCUGGCUUUGUUAGGCAAGCAUUCCCAGCUCCAGUUUCCCAUGGCAUAAUAAAGUAUAAACACUGCAGUAUGCUGUGAACUUGUCCAUCAAACAGCGACGCAUACUCCCACUCCUUUUGCAUUGGCUCCAGUGUAUCAAAUUCCAAGUAGUCAUAGUCUUGCCAUUAUCUUCCCUCUCCAGACCCCUUGCCUGCCCUUGGACCCUUCUUAUGGAAUAUUAAUGCUCACAAUUUCAGGUGUCCGUGUAUCCAGAUAAGACUGUGCUCUCUUGCCCCUCCUGCUCUUGCCCUGCCCUGACCCUUUUGCAUUGUUGCUGGGAAAUGUUGACUGAGCAAAAUGCUUUUCUCUUGGACUUAAAACGUUAACAAUCUCAGAUGUCAUUGUUUUGCCCAUUUUGAAUUUAUGUAAUACCUUGGUUGCACUUUCUUUGGUCCAGCCUAUUAGACAUGGACCCUUCCACUUCCUUCUUUGCAUUACUUCUGAGUAGUGCUGACCUCCCACAACACCUUCGGUGUUAUUAACACAGUAUUAAUUGUCCCAUUUUUUAGCCCAUCAGCCCCAGAUCUCCCUACCACUUUGACAUUGUAUUUGUGCAGCAUUGACUACCAAAAGCAGGCCUGAACUAGGUGGCUGGGCCUUCACUCCUUUUCCUGCAUUUGUUAAUGAUCCCAGUUCCAAUUAUUUUCACAUUCUGGGGACAGGAACCAUUCCUGCCCCCCUCUUACUGCUUUACUAGGCAAAAUGCCCAAGGCAAGUCGGACCCAAGGGAACUGGAUUGCUACCCUUUAUUUUGGGUUUUCAUUAUACAUAAGUAUCAAUUGAAAAUUGUCUCCCCAGGAAGGAAGUUUAGCACUAUCUGUGCAUUCUUCCUUUCAAAGCAGAUUGCCUGGCAAAGAAUCUCUCCUCUCCUCUUGUAUAUUGCCAUUGUAUAGUGUCAACUGCCAAGAUACAACCAAAAAGUUGCUGUUAAUUUUUUAUGUUGUAAGGAAGAUUGCAAGGUAGAAUUGAUAACCUGGUCAUUGAAAUUUUGAAGUCUAAAAACCUAUUUAUACCAUGUACCUGAUGACCAGUGUCUCUCAUUUUACUAAGGGUGGUGGGUCUGUGGAUAGACCACUGUGACUUUGAUAUUUUAGUAUGAUCAAAGGAGUUCUAGAGUGGAACUUUUAAGACCAGUAUCUUUGGGCUCUACCACCAUUUUCAAACCAUUCCUUGUUUGGGCUUUAACAAUUUUCACUUGUAGAAAAACUACCUAAACUUCCUAAUCCUUAAAUUUUUUCAUCUGGAGCUCCAGCCAGCCCCUACUUAUUUCAAGAAGAUUGCUGUAAAAGGAUAAAAUGAGAGAACAUAUGCUGAGGUGCUUUUGAAAACCAUAGAUCAAUUUAUUUGAUUAAUCUAUUACAUAAAAUGCCCCCUGUUUAAUUCUGCUAAUUUAAAGUAGCCUAAAGCACCACAUUGAAGUGAGGACUUAGAAAUGAUGGAACCAGUUUCCCCAUUUUAUAUGAAAAGAAAAGUAAGCCAAGAUCUAAUCAUUCUUUCGGAUAUAAAUUUCAACAGUGAGAUAGCUGCCUGGUAAAAAUGAAUAAUAUUCCAGCUCUAGUGUACAGGGUGUUUGGUGGCAUAGAAGUAUUUAAUAUGGAACUGCUGGAGCAAAUAACUAGUUAUCACUACAGCAGUUCUUUGUAAUCACUGAGAAAGGAUACUCUUCUCUGAGAAGGAUGUCAAAAGAUUCGCCCAGCUCAGGGUGCUGUUUGCACUACUAGCUCCUUGGACAGCUGUAAGAAGUCUCUGGCUCUUUAGAAUACUGGAUGAAUUCUGAGCUGGUACCCCCACUCAAGAGGAAGGAUGGACCGAUUUUAGGUGGAUUGAAGCCUGCCCUAGACAGCAGCCAAAGGACAUUCUGAGCAUGUGAGACCUGAGGAACUGCAAGCAGCUUUAAGAAGCUCUACAUUCAACAGGUCUUUCCUUUUGAGAAUCUGGAUAAGCUCCAACCAAUCUAAGAGGAUGGCUUGCCGGCUCCCUGGAGAAAAAGAUCUUCCUCAGAAGAAUAGGCUUGUUGCUUUACAGUGUUAAUGACCCAUUCCCUUUGACGAUCCCUAGGUGGAGAUGGGGCAUGAGGAUCCUCCAAGGGAAAAGCUCACUAUCACUGAGCAACAAUCCUAGGCCAGGAGGUUCUACCAAGAUUCUUUCCUGGGCCCAGUUAGGAAGAUGAAAUCUCAAGACAACCACCACACAUCCAGAGGAGAACAUGGACAACAACUGCCACAUCUGUGACAUUGAUCAUGGGCAGAUCAUCAUUCUGGACCCUCUGGUCUCCAAAGUCUCCCUUGAGGCCCUGUUGGAGAACUUUACCAAUCAUUUACAUACUUCAAGAUGCCUUGGGAUAGCUGUUGGACAAAACAAAAAACAAGCUGUUUGAGAAGAUAAAACAGAGUUGUGUCUUUUUAUGCUGUGCCUGCUAAUUGACAGAAGCUUCACAACUAUGAGUGGGAAUGUGACUAGAAGUGGCACAAAGUUAUCUAUCGUCAGGCUGGAUCUAAAGAACUAGCACCCUGCGUAUUCUAGCUCCUGAUUGUUCCCUUCAUAUCUGUCCAAUCAUUAUCUUUCCCAGAAGCAGUGCAAAGAGCAAGACAUUUGAACACACCAAAGGAAGAUCAACAUGCCUGGCACUCUAGAAUUUUAGAAUAGCAGAAUGAACCUCUUCCACUGAAUGUCUGCCUUUGCUUAUCUUUUAAACUCAUAAGUGUGUAUUUGUUUGCUUAUCUAUUUCUUCCUUGAAUGUCUUUGGUCUUUCUUCUCUAACUAAAGUGUGUCUUACCCAUUUCCAUGAUUCUCUUACUAGUUUCUUCUCUGUAUAUCUUUGUCUCAUUUUCUUUUCUGUACCCAAGAGUGGUCUGUGUCUUGUCUUAGAUGUCUCUCUCUAGUUUUUCUCAUUUUGUUACUGAUUCUCCUUGCUCUCCUAGAUCUGGCUCUUCUUUCACUGCUCUUCUCUUUGUGUCUCUUGAGUCACAUGCUGUGUGCCUUUUGCUCAUUUCUUGCUAUGCCUACCUCUCUUCUUUUUCUCUUUGUGAACUGUUUGUCACCCCCUCCCCUUGUUGGCUUGACAUUUCACCUUUUCUGAUACUGGCCACCCUUCUGCUGUUUCUACUCUUUAUCUUGCAUUGCUGUUUUCUACAUAUUCUUUCUGCCUCUCUUGGGCCAUUUUCUCUUCUUUUCCUGCUUUGUGUGCCCCAGUGUCUCUUUGUUCUUUGUGAUUUUCCAUGUCAGCAUUCAUCUCUGUGUUCUCUUAUUUCUUCUCUGCUUUUGCCUUUCUACUUACCUUUGAGUAUUUCAGUCUCUUCUUGAGUCUAUGUCUCCCCCACUUCGAUUUCAUGCAGUCCUCUCUCCUUGCAUAUUUUUUGUGCAUGUGUGUGUGCAUGCUUUUGUGUGUGUGUGUGUUUGUAACAAAGGGGCCUCCUAACCCCUUCCUAAUAGGUGCAGAGUGUCAGCUAUCAAAAUAUAAGCAUUGAAGAGCUGUUCCUUAUGCCAGGCUGCCCGUGAGAUGAUCCAAGACCAAUAAAAGGCCCAAAGGUCUAGACUGGAGUUGGACGGAAGACUCAAGUCUCGGUGAGACAGAAGGCCAAAGACCCAGGAUGGGAUGAAAAGCCUUGGCUUGAAGACCUAUGACCCAAAAAUGGAAGGGCCCAAGCACACAUAAAGACCCAGGACUCAAGCCUGUCUAUACAGACAGAAGGCCUAAGAGAGACAGAUAUCUCCAGACUAAAUUAGGUGGGAAGCUGGAGGCCCAUGACCCAGAAUCCAGGAAGGAUAGAAGCCCCAAGACCAAAGGAAAUUCCAAGAUGAGAACCCUAAACCGCAGCUCUUUUCUAUUGUUCUCCUCCCUACGCUUGGACAUUUUCAGUUCUCCCUUUCCUGUUCUCAUAUCUUCGUUUAAACCCACUUCUUUUGAGAUGUCCUUUUUGAUGUUGCUGCUACUUUAAAGAAACAUACCUUUAGAUCAGUAAUAUUAUGCCUGGGCCAGUCUUAAGCCAGUUUUUAUCACAGUUUUAAGCCAUUUAUUAAGUUUUUGGUGUUUUGCAAAGUUCCAUUUCUCUUCACCUCCUCUCCACUUGAGAGGAACACAUAGGUGACAUUAUAUUUCAGUCCCCUCUUUCCUCGGAAGCUCUAGGCUGAUGAGAGAAGGAAAGCGUCAGGCUACUGAGUGGAAAAAAAGUGCCAGGCUAUCUAGAGAAAAUGUGAAGAGAUGCUCCAGGCCAAUGAGAAGAACUAGACAAGAAAUACACAGAUGUGCCAGCUUGCUGAGAAGCACCAGCCAGCAACAUAUUACUUCUUUGAGCUUGGUUUCUGGCAUCCCAAGACUACCACUACUGCUAAACAAGAAUAAGAGAACAUGCUAUCAUCUGAUUUUUGUGGCAUAAAUGAAGUUGUGAACAAAUCUUUUUUUAAAAAGGAAAUGGCUUCAUCUUUAUCCUUCUACCUCAAAGGGAAUCUAUGACAAAAUGCUCCGAUGAAUGGAAGACACACUUGGACUUGUGAACUGAUGUGAAACGCAGAAUCUCUGAGCCAUGGUUGUUUUGAAGAUUGAAAAGUCUUGUUCAGCAUGGGUGACCAGCAAAAAAGCAAUCUAGAGCUGUCUGUAUGUCACAACUGAGACAAAUUGGGGAGUUUGUUGUUUAAUGUCAAAUAAAAAUGUACUGUUUUGAAAA